ensembl:misc_RNA 7SK 7SK RNA
GGAUGAGAGGGUGAUGUGACAGGGACAGCUGUCAUCAGUCAUCCUGUUGACCUUCGAGGUUAAUUCACCUGAUCUGGCUGGCUGACUGAGGGUCAUCUCCAUCCGCCCUCACCACCUCAUGGGCGUACCUUUUGAAACUCUUUGAAUGAUAAUAAAAAUAAGGAGAAGAGAGACCUUCUUUUACCAGGAAUGGCUAUCCAUUCUUUCAAAAAGUGUUUAUUGAGCUUCUUUUAAAUAUCGAACAUUGUCUAGGAUAUGCUGGAAAACAA